UACAGAGGGGGCAAGCGUUAUUCGGAAUUAUUGGGCGUAAAGGGCGCGUAGGCGGCCUUGCAAGUGACGGGUGAAAUCCCUCGGCUUAACCGAGGAACUGCCUGUCAAACUGCGUGGCUUGAGACCAGGAGAGGUGAGUGGAAUUCCCAGUGUAGCGGUGAAAUGCGUAGAUAUUGGGAGGAACACCAGUGGCGAAGGCGGCUCACUGGACUGGUACUGACGCUGAUGCGCGAAAGCGUGGGGAGCAAACAGG
rnacentral:rRNA from 1 species